GCAAACUUGGUCAUUUAGAGGAAGUAAAAGUCGUAACAAGGUCUCCGUUGGUGAACCAGCGGAGGGAUCAUUACCGAGUUCUCGCGACUCCCAAACCCCCUGUGCACCGUACCGCGUUGCCUCGGCGGGGGGGCCGCCGCUCCCCGCGGGAGCAGGCGCCCCCGCCGGAGGACCCCAAACCAAACCCUUGAACCUCCCCGCCCCGCGCGGGCCCUCUGAGUGUCGCGGAGCCACCGCGUAAAAAAAAUGCAAUCAAAACUUUCAACAACGGAUCUCUUGGUUCUGGCAUCGAUGAAGAACGCAGC
rnacentral:misc_RNA from 1 species